GAGCAGUUGUGACAGCUUGGAGAUGGUGAACUUGGCUCAUAAUUAUUAUACUGGAGAAAUUACUGACGGGUUUAGCAACUGCAAGACGCUCCAUUUUCUUGACUUGAGCUCAAACAGGUUGUCUGGUCAACUUGUCGAUAAACUUCCAGUUCCUUGCAUGACUCUGUUUGAUGUCAGUGGAAAUUCUUUAUCAGGCUCAAUUCCCAGGUUUUACAACAGCAAAUGUGCUCAUCCCCCCAACACGGAUAGAGAUAUCAGUGAUAUAUCAUCUGCAUACUUGUCAUAUUUUGCUGAAAAAUCUCGAGCUGAAAUUCCUUUUGAGUCAUUUGUUGAUGGUGACGGUGUGUAUGUAUUUCAUAACUUUGGGAGUAAUAAUUUUACAGGAACCUUGCAGUCGAUGCCUAUUGCACCUGAUUGGUUGGAGGGCAAUACUAUCUAUGCAUUUUUUGCCAGUAAUAACAAGCUUUCUGGGCCAUUUCCUGGGAAUUUGUUUGAGAAAUGUGGAGAAUUGACUGGUAUGAUUGUGAAUAUCAGCAAUAAUGGAUUUUUUGGUCAAAUUCCUGCUGAUAUUGGUACUACAUGCAGAUCCUUGAAACUUUUGGAUGCCUCUGAAAAUCAGAUAACUGGGACAAUUCCUUCCAGUUUUGGGAAUUUGGCUUCAGUUGUUGCUCUUGACUUGAGCUGGAACCUUUUUCAAGGUCCAAUUCCUAGCAGUUUUGGCCAAUUAAAGGAUCUCAAGUUUCUUUCAUUGGCUGGAAAUAAUUUGACUGGCACCAUUCCCACAAGUUUGGGGCAGUUGCAGUACUUGGAAGUGUUUGAACUGUCGUCAAAUUCUCUCAGUGGUGAGAUUCCUAAAGAUCUUGCAAAUUUGAGGAAUUUAACCACUCUUCUCCUCAACAACAACAAUCUAACGGGACAGAUUCCAUCUGAGUUGGCCAACGUUGCUACUCUUUCGGUAUUCAAUGUGUCAUUCAAUAAUCUGUCUGGACCGCUACCCCAGAAUGGUAACUUGAUGAAAUGUAACAGUGUCCUAGGAAACCCGUAUCUUGGAUCUUGCCAUAUGUAUUCUUUAACAACCCCAUCUGCAGAUCAGCAGGGAAGAUUUGGGGAUCCACAGAAUUAUGCCGCUACUCCAUCUCCUACUCCACCCCAGAAAGGUGGGAACAGUGGUUUCAACUCAAUUGAGAUAGCAUCCAUAACUUCUGCUGCAGCCAUUGUGUCAGUUCUCAUUGCUCUUGUUGUCCUCUUCUUUUACACAAGAAAGUAUAAUCCAAGGUCUAGAGUUGGGGGGUCGACCAGGAAGGAAGUUACAGUCUUUACUGACAUUGGUGUUCCGCUGACAUUUGAGAAUGUGGUCCGCGCAACAGCAAACUUCAAUGCUAGUAAUUGCAUUGGUAAUGGAGGAUUUGGAGCAACCUACAAGGCUGAGAUUGCACCGGGGGUCCUAGUGGCAAUAAAAAGGCUAGCAGUAGGACGCUUUCAAGGGGUUCAACAAUUUGAUGCAGAAAUCAAAACUCUAGGCAGACUCCGUCAUCCGAAUCUUGUGACUUUGAUAGGAUACCAUGCCAGUGAAACAGAGAUGUUUCUUAUAUAUAACUAUUUGCCUGGGGGAAAUUUGGAAAAGUUCAUUCAGGAAAGAUCUACAAGGGCUGUGGAUUGGAGAGUACUGCACAAGAUUGCCCUGGACAUAGCCCGUGCACUUGCCUACCUGCAUGAUCAGUGUGUCCCACGUGUUCUUCAUCGCGACGUGAAGCCUAGCAAUAUCUUGUUGGAUGAGGACUACAAUGCAUAUUUGUCUGAUUUUGGAUUGGCUCGUCUGUUGGGAACUUCAGAGACCCAUGCCACGACUGGUGUGGCCGGAACUUUUGGAUAUGUUGCCCCAGAAUAUGCAAUGACUUGCCGUGUCUCUGACAAGGCUGAUGUCUACAGUUAUGGCGUCGUGUUGCUUGAGUUAAUUUCAGAUAAGAAAGCUCUCGAUCCCUCAUUUUCUCCAUACGGAAAUGGUUUCAACAUAGUAGCUUGGGCAUGCAUGCUCUUGAGGCAAGGCCGAGCCAAGGAGUUCUUCACAGCUGGAUUGUGGGACGCAGGUCCCCAUGAUGAUUUGGUUGAAGUUCUACACUUGGCAGUUGUGUGCACAGUGGAAUCCCUAUCAACCAGACCCACUAUGAAGCAAGUCGUGAGACGGCUGAAGCAACUCCAGCCGCCAUCUUGUUAGCUACAGUACAGAGGAGUCAGCUGAUUGACACAUUUGAUGCAUAGAGGGGGUCAGCCCGCGGACUUGCACUUUUGACUGCAGAAGUGCACUCGGGGGUCUUCACGGGCUGCCACUAGAUUCGGAUUUUAAAGUUUAGGUGCUUGUAAAUUGUAGUAUAGCUUCUGCCCCCAUUUUUCCAUAUCAAUGUCCCUGAUUAGAGAGGGGGUUCACUGAUGGAUCUGCAGAAGAAUGCAGAUAUUCGUUUCUUAAGGUUGUAUACAUGUAUUCAAUUUCUGUUUGCUGCUGUGAAAUAAGAGUCACAAAGAGAAUCAUUCUGCAGAACACCUGCCACUUCAAAAUUGGCCGUGAUAUUUGAUUCUCGUGUACCGUGCCUGAAAUUUUAGAAGUUGCAAUCCCGAAAGAUGUGACUUUUGCCUUCUCCCUCCUCCAGGGAAAGAAAUAUUGCCCGCUUGGGCCAUUAGUAUUGUUCACUGGGUCAAAGCCUGUUUCUCCCAGCCCUCAUAUUAUUUGCUCGGGGACAUCGCUGUGAUCUCUGCCUGAUGCUUUAAAAAGAAAGGAUAGAUCUUCGUGAUCUCUGCCUAAUAUGCUCGGUCAGUGGCCUCGCCGUGUCCGGUAUUACCCCUUUAAUUUGUCCCAGUCUUCUCUAUGAUUCUCUGCCUUGCGGGCGUUUGCAGACGCAACCAUCCAUUCACUUUCGCUUGAUAUCUCUGUUAUGGAUUAGUCAAAAAAGAACCCGUUUAAGGAGCAGUACUCCGUGCCCAUGCAUCCCGAGAAUUGCUAGAGUUUUGUCGGAAGCCAUACCGGACAUGGAAAUCCGCUAAAAGAGAUAUAAAAUCAACGGAUACCAUCAUAUUGGCGCAUAAUGAAAUAGUAGCAUAUAGAGACCGGGAAGAAGACCUCAUUUGAAAGUAGGAAGUAACAAAAGAAACAACGGAACCCCUCAGCAGUCAAGGCGUCAGCCUAACACAAACAAAUUUAACCAAUAAGUGAUGGACGUCAUUAAAUAAAAUUGGGCAAAUGAAGAAAAACUAAGCAGCGAUGACUAAGUGCUAAGGGGGUUCAUGUUACAGCUUCCUUGCUACAAUUAAGGGUGAAGGGUUAACAACUAUAUGCCUCAAUGGGUGCUCUACUUCAGUUCCGCCUGCAUGCUUGACAAACUCGGCCGGAGACAGGAAGCUUCCAUGGCAAACGCACACAAUUUUUACUUCCUCUCCUUUCUGAUAUCUAUACAAAAAUCCUUCUAUCUUUUUACCAUUUGGCCCAUUUCCAGUUGUGGAGACACAAGGCAUAUCAAGCAUUACAUUCUUGAGCAUCUCCUUUGCUUCUUUUGCUCCCUUGUCAACUGCUGCCUUGCCAACCACUGAUCCAGGAGGCACUUGAGGUUUUUGCUCAUGGUGAACCUUAAGAGAUUGCACGCUGGAAGGGCUCUUUGUGCCAUUCUUUUCGUUCACUGCAGCAAUUAAGAUGCAGUUAAAAGACCGGGGGGAAAAAAUUACAGAUCAAAUAUGCAUCUUCAGGAGCACUUGUUAACAAUUGGAAUCUUCAUCACUAAGUGACAAACUAAUUUUUCCCAUAGGGCAAAGUGGAAAAACUGAGAAUCACAUGAUCCUAUAAAAAAAGCUUGAGCGAACACAUCACAUACACAGCCAGAAAAAUGCUAGGAAUGGUCAAACGCGGAGUACCAACCAACCCAGCAAUGUUGCAUAAUUUGACUAAAAUGGCUAUUCCAAUAAAAGAUCGAAACAACGGUACUUUUGUUACAGCUAAAACAACAUCCUUAACAAAUUGUUCUGGAUGCUUAGUUUUAAAUUUGCAUUCAGUAAAGAUUUCAACGGAUACUCGCCCAAAUUCAUAUUAACCAGGAAUGUUUAUCCAAGAUAAGCUCGAUUCUUAUCCCAUUCAGAUACACUCCGGGGAAUUAGUUUUUCAAGCUGCCCGGCCAGUGUCGCUUUUCUUUUCUAAUCAAAACUUACCUACCAUGAAAGGAGCUUGAUAUUCUCCACAAGGGCAAACUAUUUGAAAAUAAUUAACUCUUUGUCCAAACAUCAAUAUGGUAACUCGAGAAGGGUAUUAAACGUGGUGCCAAAAUAUAGCAACAAAGUUUACGCAUGGACAAAAGACUUGUAAGCAUUAGCAAUAAGUGCAUGGCCAGAAAAGCAAACCAAGAAAUAGGACCUACCGAAGCCACAAAAGAAUGGAAAAUGGGUUUCUGAAUCAGUUAAAAUUAUCAAAAUAUCAUUUAACUAAGACAAAUUAUUCAAUUAUGCUCAUAAGCUAUGGCAGUAACCAGUAUAGAAAGACAAUUCAUCGUGUCAUGCUUAAAGAGGAAACAUAACUAUGUCCACAAAAACUUCAGAGAAGCAUAUGUCAAAUCCAAUUGACUACGCAUAAAUCUUGCACUCGUAUUUUUAGUGAAUGGCGAGUAAGCAAAAUCCAAAAAGGUUAAAUCACUUAAUUCUCUAAACUUGGUCAAAAUUUUAGUUUUGCAAACUUUGGUUUAAACUUUCCAAGCAAAGAUAUCUAUACCACUAACCUACCUGAUUUCUAAUUUCUUUGAGAGGCAAGGCAACUCCAUACAUAUUACUCAUUGUGCUCAAGUUGAUUGAAACACAUAUCCCACGAAUAAAGCUGAGCUUAAAAGAACCCUAGCCCAACUCUUACAACAACAAUACGAAAAUAGAUUUUGAAGAAGCAUCUGUCUAUAAAAGGAAGCUAGCUAAGCGCAAUUCCUGAAUACAGACUCCACAAUUUCACAUCUUAGAAACCAUUAGGAUCAAAUCAAGCAAGAAGCAAUUUUUCCAUUUGUAUACUCAGAACGUAACCAACCCUCCUCCCCUCCCCCAACCAACCAAAGCACGCUCGCACACACUCACGACAAGCUGCAAAUGCAAGUACACCAAAUUAACCGUGACAACAAAUUUUAAGGAGAAAAAAUGUAAAAGUUACCAACAAAGGUAAGAAAUAAAACGGAUAAAGAAUAAUCCUAAAAGAGUAAAUACCUUGAAUGGGUUGACUAUGGAAUUCAGAAAUCUCAGAGAAAGCACUGCCUUGUGAUCCAAUUGAUGCCUGGGAUGAUGGCAUCAUAUUUCCAUUCCCGUUCCCAUUAAUGCUGUCUAAACCUUGGCAACUAUUAUUGGUAUUAGUACCAUUACUCUCAUUUUCUUCACCAGAAUAAUCCUCCGGCUCAACCUUCUCCCUCCCAACCCUCAUAAUCUUAAUCUUAUCCAUCCUCCUCCUUUUAGCCUCCAUCCUCCUCAACGACUGCAACUCCUUCCGCUUCCUCCACUCCUGCUCUGUCUCCGUUGGCAGAGAACAAGUCCUUGACAACGGCGAAUACGAAGCAAUUGGCACCAAUGACGCGUGGCUUUCUUCACCGCCUGCAACACCAGCGUACAUGAAAGUUAAUACAGAAGAAGAUCGCAUUAACUUCAUCUUAGCCUGUUUUGGGUCCACCCCAAACCUUCCAUUCAAUGACAGCCCCAAACUUAACUCCACCUCUUCUUCUCCAUUAUCAACCCCGAAUUUUCUUGAUAAAGUAUUCCCGUUCGGCAAGUUAUUGAACAGUAGAUCUUUUGAAAAUCCAUUGACUUGAGUGGGCAAAUGGCCCUUUCCUUUAUUUUCUCCAGCCUCUGCCAUGUAGUUCACCAGCAUCAUUAAUAGAAAACCCAAAAAGAUUCAAUCUUGAAGAUGCUCAGAUGGAAAUAGUCUUACUCCACCAGUAAUAAUUCAAGUAAAUUUCAUUUUCCCUCGCCAAAGAGAACAAGGAAAAAAACAAAGACAAAAGGAAAGAAACAGAUUUAUGGGUCCAGAAAACCUCAUAACAAGGUAAAAUAACAAGUUGUGCAAAUCUCUGAUAAUGUGAAGAAGGAACUCAAAAGAAUUUCGAGGGAAGAGUUCGCCGGCGAGGUGGAGAGCGCCAUGACCGCGAGGGAGACAACAUAAACAAAUGUGAAUAAAUGAAAAGAGCAAUGGGAAAGAAACUGGGGAAAAGAAAUAAAAGGGAGAACUUGAAAUUGGCCUGGGGAGCAUGAAAAGACGAAAAAGGACAGAGAUAUUGAAACGCAAAUGAGUUAGACGUGACACGUGGAUGGGGUGAAGUAUCAUGAGACGACCCACGUGGUUAAGACAAGCUGGUUUGGAGGACGAGGACGGGGAUGACGACGUCAAAAAGCCAAACAAGCGUCCAAAAAGAUGUCUCCUCAACGGACGAGGAUUAUGAGAUAACGGAAGCUACGGACACGUGUAUGUAAAUUUGGGGAUAAAGCGGAUUGGCUUUGCCACGUUGUCAGAAAAUCCCGAACUCGUAAUGCCGCGACGUUUCAUUCAUUCUCUCUUCCCUACCCUUUUUACUCUGUAUGUAUCUUCUGCUGCGUUUACUCCUCCUCCCUAUGUCAAAAAUAAUAGGCUCUAUUUGGAUUCAAGCUCGUUUGGAUUGACUAUUUUUUCAAAAACAGUUUUUCAAAAACAAUAAAAGUUACAACAAAGUAUUCUAAAAGAUAAUCUAAAAAUUAAUUUAAAAUUUUUUAAAAUUUUACCAAAUAUCUCAAAAUAAAGUGCCAAUAAAAAAUAUUUCAAAAUAUUUUCUAAAAAUAUUUCAAAAUAUACUCUAAAAACUCUGCUACAGCAAAGUUUUUCAAAAACAUCCCCAAAAACAGCUAAUCCAAAGAGUUUUUCAAAAAUUAAAUUUUUAAAAAAUAUUUUAAAAAUAGUUUAAAUUUUUUUAAAUAUUUAAAAAGUAUCUCAAAAUAUAUUCUAAAAACUCUUUUAUUCUAAAAUAUUUCAAAAUAAUUUUAAAAAGUACUCUAAAAAAUAGUCUAAAUUUUUUAAAAGUUAAAAAAUAUUUCAAAAUAUAUCCUAAGAAAGACUCUUAAAUAUCUUAAAAUAUUUUCUAAAAUAUGGUAUAAAAACUCUGCUAUAGUAAUAUUUUUUAAAAAUAGCUAAUCUAAAUGGACUCAUUGUACUUUAGUUUGCUAAUUUUCAUUUACUUGUAUUAUUAACAUAUUUUAAAAUUAUUUUUUAUUUUACCUAUAUCACAUCAAAAUAAGUGUUAUAAUACUUUUUUAAAAUAUUAUUCCAAAUGAUCUUCUGUCCACAUACACUCCAAGUUCUUCCCUUAGGUUUUUCUUUUCUCGCUUUAUAAUCUUUCUAGAUCCUCAAUGGCGCUCCGUUUGAAUUAACUGUUUUUUGAGGUAUUUUUGAAAAAUUUUAUUAUAACAAUGUAUAUGAAAAAAAAUUUACAGACUAAAUUUUUUUUUUUGAAAUAUUUGAUAUAUUGUAUGGAUGAGAUGUUUUUUGAUUUAUUGUGUAUUAUUGUAGCAUUGUAUUUGGAAAACUUGUUUUUGAAAAAAUGGCAAUUCCAAAUAGAGCCAGCAUUAAUGAAAAACUACUUAUUCCAGGUCAAUUAAUCAGUAAUUCAAUCAAAUUAAAUUGGUUAAAAAUAUUUUUUGCUACAACGAAAUCCAAUAGCAUUGAUGAAAACCUAUUUAUCAAUCAGUUUAUCGAUAAUUCAAUUAGGUGAAAUUGGUUAGAAUAUAAUUUUUGCCCUUUUCACUUCCAAUCAAAAUUGAAGCCCAUUUUAUGUUGAUUGAAUUGAAAUCAAUUUAACUGAAAUCAAAAAUCGAUUUGAAAGUUGGUUAAUCAAUUUGGUUGAAGUCCCAGGAUUUAGAAGUCAUGAUUCAUACCCGUCACCUCUCUCCACUUCUUAAAUUCCAUCCAUCUAUUGUUAGAAAAAAUUAAGAAAAAAACUUAACCAAUUCAAAUUUUGAUUAAAAAAGAUAAAGUUCAACAUGCACUUCUUAAAAUAAUAAAACCACAUGUUUUUACUUUGACUAUAAAUAUACAUAUCAUAUAUAUUGUAAAAUAAUAAUAUACAACUAUACAUGUCAUAUAUAAUAUAGGGGGUAUAUGGAAUAGUGAAAAAAAUUAACUUCAAUUUUUUGAUUAAAACUAAAAUUGGUAAUUCAUAAUAGUUUUCAACUAAUUGACCGUUUUCAAAAAUCGAUUUUCAUUGAAACUGAAUUGAAAUCAAUUUCCAUGAUAAUCGAUUCAUUAAGUUUAAUUAAAUUGAGCCGAAAAUUCAAUUAACCGAAUUGUUGCCUACCCCUACCACACUUAGGAUGCGUUUGAUAAAAUUGAAAUCUGAAAUCAAGUUUGAAUUCAUUAAAUUAUUGAAUUGUUAAAUAUUAAAUCUAAUACAUGUGAGUGUAUAUUGCAUUCAGUGAUAACUGAAUAGCUUAUCAUUUAAUUUUGAAAGCAAGUUUUGGCUAGAAAAAUUCAGUGCUACUUAAUUAAUUCAGAUGUUCAAUUUUUUAUUAUCAAACGUUCUGAAUAUGUUAAGAUAUGAAUUCAUUAAACUUAAGUGUUGAAUUGAAUUAUCAAACAGGGCCUUAGUUUCAACUUUUUUGUGAGUCAACUAAUUCCCAGUUUUCAUCAAAAGCGAUUAAUGCAUAAUUAGGUCUUGCUUGGAUUAUAAUUUUUCAAAUUUUUUAUUAAAAAAAGAAUAGUAUAGCAAUAUGAAAUACACGACACACAAUGACAAUUGGAAAGCGUGUCAGAAGAAUAAUCUUCUUUUUUAAUGAAAAUCCAAAUGCCCUCUAAUUUUCUGAAAACUUCAUUUAAGAAAUACCAUGUUGGCACGCUAUAAACUCCCAAGAAUGUUUCCAAAGCUUCAAAUAACAAACCUAAGAAAGAAUCAAUUGAGCUGUUGUCUUGGAUCAAAUCAGUCUAAAUCUACGUACAGCAUGACCAACGAUGUCUAUAUCUAUCUGCUUUUUUAGCGUCCCGCUGUUUUCAUAAGAUGUCAUCAGUCAGAUUAUUUAACAUACCGAGCGAUUAAGAUGUCAUCCUGCGCUGUGCCUUGAAAACAAAAGAUUUUCCGUUUUGCCUUUCGCUACUGAGAAAGAGGAUAAAGCCGUUUCUUUUUGGGUCGACUCGGAGGGUAAAGUUUUAACUGAACUCAAAAUUUCGUCAUCCAAUCGAAGCCGUCAAUUUAAACUUUACACCGUGAAAGAAAAAGAAAGGAAAAAAAAAAGGUGAAAUUGCCGAACCACGUAUUGAUUUGCGGUGUUAAUCAUUCUGACGCCAACGAUUUGGAAGCACAAAAGUUUGACAACAAUAAUGACUGUGGGGCUUCUGUUGGAGGAUUUGUCAUCGUCUCUCAAAUCAAUGUCUGGGAUCGGUUGCCCGUCAAGAUUUUGACACGUAUACGUCUCAUCGGAGCUCCGGUUUUUGCCCUCUCGUUUACGUUGCUGAUUGCUCGAAUAACCCUUGCGAAAAGCAGAAAUUUUGAGCCUUCGCGGAUUCAAAACUAUCAAUAGAUAAACGAGGUAAAUUACAUGUUUUGGUUUUUCUUUUUCAGAAUUAGAAUGUGAAGCUUUUUAGUAAGUAUUACUUUCAAGUUCCACCAGCUUUAUAUUUUUGGUAUGAUGACUUCUGCUGCUGCUGAUUUCAUAUGUUAAACAAUUAAUUACUUCCAUUUUGCUGCGAUAUCGGAUUUGUGGACCAUUUGUUGUACUUUUAACGUUGAUUGGGUUCACCCCAAGUCACGUAAGUAUCUUUUUCCUUUAUCGUUUUGCUGGAGACAGAGGUGGUUGAUUUAUUAUUAUUAUUUUUUUGGCUGAUGGAAUGGGUGUCCGGAUCAAUCUUUACGAAUCUGAUUAAUCUCACUCCGACCUGGAAGAAGAGGCCCCAUCCCCCGACUACGAUAGUCACAGGACUCGGACCCUUGCGGACACUGGACACCAACUCCUAAGAAGAUUUGUUGAGACUAAUCGAGUUGUUCAUGAAGGACAGACAAUUUAGUGGGAGGCAUGGGUCGAACCCUGACCUCCUACCUACCGGGUUUAGCUCAGUGGUUACGGAGGUGGUUGAUGAAGUUGUUGCAGUUGCAAACGAAGGUGACUGAGACACGUGACACUGCCAUUGUCAGUGCUAAUGGAUGGCAUUAACCAGCCAGUUGUGGCUUCAAGGACAUGGUGAAUGUAGUUCUUCUGAGUUGGUGCUUUUUUGGGAUGCCAAUUUCCAAUUUGGUCCAAUAAAAAUGAUUAGAAGCUAGAACUCGCAAGAGAUGAAUUGGAUUGAAUGGUUCGAGAGAUGAGGAAGAGAUUCGUAAUUUAAAUCUUCUCAUUUGCAUUAAAAAAGGAAAAGGUUAGAAUUUUUAAAUUUUUUUCUUUGAAGUACAUAGACAAAUAAAGCAGUCAAUUCAGCUGAUGGAGACAUAAAAACAAAUGAUCAAGGACUGGAAAAGGUACUAAAAUCUGAAUUUUGGAGAAUAGGGCAAGUGGAUCGAUUGGGCAACAUUUAUUUUUAUUCACUUCCGUCACCUUGAGCGUGAAAUAAAAAUUGCUUGCAUGUCUGAAAGACAGCUGUCGUAAUCGUCAACAAAGAAAUUGCGCAACUUGCUCGCGCAAAUUGUGUUAGUUUAACACCAAAGCCCGUCAUGUUGCCAAUUUGCUUGAAAAAGAAAAGGUAGUCAAGAAAAUGGCAAAAGCAGCCGUCACCUCCUCUCAAUCACGUCCUCAUUAUUCAAGUCUUCUUCACUUCUAGCAGUCCCAAACAUUUUUGCUUCUUCGUAGGUAUGUAAUGGAGCUGAGUCGAGCUUGAGUAUUGCUAGCUCGAGUUUGAUUGAAUUGAAAAAUCUCAAACUCGAGAAAAUCAUUAAAAGUUUGAGACUUGACUCGUUAAAGUUCGACCUUUAGUCAAGUUUUAUCGAGUCGACUAAUCAAGUUUUUUGACUCGAUAUCUUAUUUGUAAAUUCAAUAUAGAUUAUACCCAUAACAGUCAUUUUAUAAUUAUAAUACAUAUAUAUUAUUUAAAUUAUACGGCUCGACGAAUUACGAACGGCAAAAUUCUGACUCAAACUCGAUUCGAAUGUGUACUCGAGUCGAGUAGCUCGAGACUCGGGUGAAACUUGGUUUGACUGAGUUCAAAACAAGUCAUUGACCAAGCUCGCGAGUAGCUCGGCUGGCGUACAUCCCUAGGUAAUAUUCAGAAGCAUAUUACCCAUUACUAUGAACUAGUAUUUCAAUUCAAUGGUGAAUAGUCUAUUUGGGUGAGAGAAAUUUAUCAUCGCUUGAGAUAAGAUUAUCAAAGUGGUGCAUGACUUUCUCGGUAUCUCAUCAAAGCCCAACAAUGAAGAGCCUAAAGCUCUAUCCCAUAGUUCAAACCAAACUAGUGUAAUGUUCAUGUAAAAUCUAAAUUUAGGGUUCUAAUAAUUAUUAAGCAUGCAGGAUUAUAGAAUUGAAGGGAUAAAAUAAUAACUCAAAAUAUAUUUAUGUAAGAGAGAAGAAAAUAAAUAAUUUACACUAUUAUUGAAAUAUGAAACAACAGAAGAAAAAGUCACGUCACAGUAAAACUUUACAUACUCCUCUUGACUAAUUUCUAAAAAAUAUCCUAACUAAUAUCGUAUUUAUAAUCUAUCAGACUUGUUGGGUGAAAAAUCACUUGGAUGAUCAAUUAUCAAAUAAAACACAUACACUGCUAAAAGCCCAACUUUAAUAAAAAAAACUUGUAAAAAAAUGAAUAAAAACUUCUAAAGUUAGUUCAUUUUAUCAACAUUGCCUCAUUUGAAUUAAACUCUCAAUCGAGGCGAAUCCAGCUCCAUCUAUAGCAAUAAUUCUAUUGAAAAUUCAAUUGGCAAAUAGACGAUACGCAACGCGUCAUCUUCAUCUUCAUUUUUACACAUAAUAGUGGGUGCACUUUAUAUUUUGCAAAUAAUUUUUCAAUAAUUUCAUCAUGAUCAAGGUACUAAUUCAUACAAAUCUAUUAAUUAUCACAGUCAUCAUAUUUACCACCAAUAUAAGUGUCUAAGAAUAUAACAUUAUAUAUUGUUUUCUUUCUUGCUAAAGUUAUCACUACAAAUAAAUCAGAGUAGCUAUAACCGUACUCAUCCAAAAAAUUCAUACCACAAAUUAAGUUUCUCAUGUAAAAAAGUUUUUCAACUCCAAUAAAAAAUGAUCAACCAAAUUAAAUAUUUUUAUCAUAUUGAAGAGAGUUCGAACCAACAAAAUUUUCAAUAACAAUCUUUUUUCCUUGACAUUUUAAAUUAGAAUUUUCUUCUUCUUUUUUUUUUUUUACCAAAUUAACAAAUUCAUUUUUUGAAAAAAAUUUCAUCACUCUUAAUUUUUCCAAACAAGAUAUGCAAAUCAAAACUUUUAAACAUAUAAUUUUCUUCAUCAAAACUUUCAAACUUUCUAUGUUUUAGGUGUCAGAAAAGCUAUUCACCCCUUCCUUGGCUUAUUGGUCUGCGAAUGAGUGUUACUUUCGCCAUUAUUUUGCAAGUAAGUAUUUAUUUUACUUUCGCUGCUUAAUUAUCUAUGCUAAAAUUGGUUUAUUUGGUUCAGCCAUGGUUUACUGAUUAACUUCAUAUUCUGAAGUCAUGGUGAUUUGACUAACUAAUCAAUGAUCUCUUGCUAAUCCAUACACCCUUUUGUAUUUUGGUAUAAAUAAAUUGAAUCUAUACAUACAAGACACACACAAGUUGUGACACAAGCAUACCUUUUUUUUUUUUUUUUUUUUUUAGUUAACCGUCUGGAAUUGCUAAUUGUGAUUAGAAUGGUGAAAGCUGAUGAACAUUGAACUUUCAGUGGGUGUGACUUUUAUUUGUCAACAUGUGGUCCCAAAAGAAUCACCCAAAAAUAAGGCAAGAAUACCCUUGGUGGAGGAGAUCAAGAAUGGAGCCCGCAAGGCCGCAAGUUGCUGGAAAAGCUGUUGGGUGGUUGCCACGUGGUGGAAGUCCACGUGUCCAAUUUUCAUAGCACAUGGACAGGUAAGCAGCAUCAAACAACUAGUUGACGGCGACAGCACCAGAAACCAGUAUCAUAAAUCACAUCGUACGGCUGGCGUCGUCUGGUCAGAUGCAUGUGAGCAAGUUGUUCCCAGUUGAACUUGGGGGGCACCUUCUCGGACCAUGGUUUUUGGUGGUGAGGAUAUUUGAACACUGCGUGUGCUUUACUCCCCAUUUCGGACCGUUUUGCCCCAUUGCUAGCUAAAAGUAAUUUCGACGGCAUCACUAAUUUUGAAAUUAACAACAACUUUCGCAUCUAAAAACCUAAGAAAUUACCCUUUAUAUGUAGUAUUAUCAAUACAAUAAUGAAAAGUGGCGCUUCAACACUUCUUAGCUUGCACAUUUUAAUUGAGUAUGUGUGGUUUUGCUUUUAAUUUUUUUUUUGAUUUGAUAAUUGUCAUAUUUUACAACAGCAAAUGUGCUCAUCCCCCAACACGGAUAGAGAUAUCAGUGAUAUAUCAUCUGCAUACUUGUCAUAUUUUGCUGAAAAAUCUCGAGCUGAAAUUCCUUUUGAGUCAUUUGUUGAUGGUGACGGUGUGUAUGUAUUUCAUAACUUUGGGAGUAAUAAUUUUACAGGAACCUUGCAGUCGAUGCCUAUUGCACCUGAUUGGUUGGAGGGCAAUACUAUCUAUGCAUUUUUUGCCAGUAAUAACAAGCUUUCUGGGCCAUUUCCUGGGAAUUUGUUUGAGAAAUGUGGAGAAUUGACUGGUAUGAUUGUGAAUAUCAGCAAUAAUGGAUUUUUUGGUCAAAUUCCUGCUGAUAUUGGUACUACAUGCAGAUCCUUGAAACUUUUGGAUGCCUCUGAAAAUCAGAUAACUGGGACAAUUCCUUCCAGUUUUGGGAAUUUGGCUUCAGUUGUUGCUCUUGACUUGAGCUGGAACCUUUUUCAAGGUCCAAUUCCUAGCAGUUUUGGCCAAUUAAAGGAUCUCAAGUUUCUUUCAUUGGCUGGAAAUAAUUUGACUGGCACCAUUCCCACAAGUUUGGGGCAGUUGCAGUACUUGGAAGUGUUUGAACUGUCGUCAAAUUCUCUCAGUGGUGAGAUUCCUAAAGAUCUUGCAAAUUUGAGGAAUUUAACCACUCUUCUCCUCAACAACAACAAUCUAACGGGACAGAUUCCAUCUGAGUUGGCCAACGUUGCUACUCUUUCGGUAUUCAAUGUGUCAUUCAAUAAUCUGUCUGGACCGCUACCCCAGAAUGGUAACUUGAUGAAAUGUAACAGUGUCCUAGGAAACCCGUAUCUUGGAUCUUGCCAUAUGUAUUCUUUAACAACCCCAUCUGCAGAUCAGCAGGGAAGAUUUGGGGAUCCACAGAAUUAUGCCGCUACUCCAUCUCCUACUCCACCCCAGAAAGGUGGGAACAGUGGUUUCAACUCAAUUGAGAUAGCAUCCAUAACUUCUGCUGCAGCCAUUGUGUCAGUUCUCAUUGCUCUUGUUGUCCUCUUCUUUUACACAAGAAAGUAUAAUCCAAGGUCUAGAGUUGGGGGUCGACCAGGAAGGAAGUUACAGUCUUUACUGACAUUGGUGUUCCGCUGACAUUUGAGAAUGUGGUCCGCGCAACAGCAAACUUCAAUGCUAGUAAUUGCAUUGGUAAUGGAGGAUUUGGAGCAACCUACAAGGCUGAGAUUGCACCGGGGGUCCUAGUGGCAAUAAAAAGGCUAGCAGUAGGACGCUUUCAAGGGGUUCAACAAUUUGAUGCAGAAAUCAAAACUCUAGGCAGACUCCGUCAUCCGAAUCUUGUGACU
rnacentral:lncRNA from 1 species